rnacentral:rRNA from 1 species
UACGGGGGGGCAAGCGUUGUUCGGAAUCACUGGGCGUAAAGCGCACGUAGGCGGAUUGCUAAGUCAGGGGUGAAAUCCUGGAGCUCAACUCCAGAACUGCCCUUGAUACUGGCGGUCUCGAGUCCGGGAGAGGUGAGUGGAACUGCGAGUGUAGAGGUGAAAUUCGUAGAUAUUCGCAAGAACACCAGUGGCGAAGGCGGACUCACUGGCCCGGUACUGACGCUGAGGUGCGAAAGCGUGGGAGCAACAGG